AUAGGAAAAUCAUUGCUGGCGACAAUAAAAAAACAUGAACACACGCACGCCAAGAUAAAGCUGGAGACGGAGAUGGAGAUGGAGAUAAACUAGGCACGGCAACAACAGCAACAACAACAGCAACAACAACAACAGAAAAUAGCGUGGAGACCUAAACAAAUAUGUUGCAAGCGUGACAGCGGCAAUCCAAGGAUCCAAGGACCUUCAGCCUCAAGGCUGUAGCUGUAGCUGAAACUGGAGCUGGAGCUGGAGCAGCUGGAGGUGGCGCGCAACAGGAAUUACCUCUAUUUGUCUUGAUUACGUCCUUUGUCCAUCAUUAUCGAGCACUGGGCUCAGUUGCGCCUGGCACUCGAUCUGGGGUCACAGCAACUCUCUGAUAUGCCAUGCGAUAUAGGUUGUUCGCUGGCUUUAUGAAAUGAAGACGCGUAAGAAGAGCAGGAGGAGUUGGAAAACUCUAGACAGCCCCACAGUGUCCUAAGUCAACAGCGAUGGCAUCGUUCAACACCUGGCCGGCGAACAGGUAGCACAAGGCACACCUUGGCGCUAAUAAGCUGCAAUUUGAUCAUAAUUAUCACUGAGAGUGGACACGGAGGGGGCGACGUAAUUUCAGCUAUCUAACUGCGUGUCUCAAUGCGCUGCAUUUGCGCUGAGCAAAUAUUAAUCGGCGAAGACGACGCCCCACUCGACGCUCCCAACUUUGAAAUUCAAGCAUCGCUUUGGCUUUGACUACUCCAUUGCCAAAUCAAUUGCACUUACAACAACAAGCACUCGCUCGGCUAUGUAGCUGCAGCUAGCUCACAGGCAAAUGGAAAUCAAUUUUGAAAUGAGAAUCACGUGCCGUCGCUCGACAGGCUCCAGCAGCA
rnacentral:sRNA from 1 species